UACGUAGGAGGCGAGCGUUGUCCGGAUUUAUUGGGCGUAAAGAGCUCGUAGGCGGUUCCGUAAGUCGUGAAGUCAAAUCUCUGGGCUCAACCCAGAAUCGCUUCCGAUACUGCGGUGACUGGAGUCCGGUAGGGGAGUGUGGAAUUCCUGGUGUAGCGGUGAAAUGCGCAGAUAUCAGGAGGAACACCAACAGCGAAGGCAGCACUCUGGGCCGGUACUGACGCUGAGGAGCGAAAGCAUGGGGAGCGAACAGG
rnacentral:rRNA from 1 species